rnacentral:rRNA from 1 species
GGGUAGUUUGACUGGGGCGGUCUCCUCCCAAAGAGUAACGGAGGAGCACGAAGGUUAGCUAAUCCUGGUCGGACAUCAGGAGGUUAGUGCAAUGGCAUAAGCUAGCUUGACUGCGAGCGUGACGGCGCGAGCAGGUGCGAAAGCAGGUCAUAGUGAUCCGGUGGUUCUGAAUGGAAGGGCCAUCGCUCAACGGAUAAAAGGUACUCCGGGGAUAACAGGCUGAUACCGCCCAAGAGUUCAUAUCGACGGCGGUGUUUGGCACCUCGAUGUCGGCUCAUCACAUCCUGGGGCUGAAGUAGGUCCCAAGGGUAUGGCUGUUCGCCAUUUAAAGUGGUACGCGAGCUGGGUUUAGAACGUCGUGAGACAGUUCGGUCCCUAUCUGCCGUGGGCGCUGGAGAAUUGAGGGGGGCUGCUCCUAGUACGAGAGGACCGGAGUGGACGCAUCACUGGUGUUCGGGUUGUCAUGCCAAUGGCACUGCCCGGUAGCUAAAUGCGGAAGAGAUAAGUGCUGAAAGCAUCUAAGCACGAAACUUGCCCCGAGAUGAGUUCUCCCUGAGACUUUAAGUCUCCUGAAGGAACGUUGAAGACGACGACGUUGAUAGGCCGGGUGUGUAAGCGCAGCGAUGCGUUGAGCUAACCGGUACUAAUGAACCGUGAGGCUUAACCUU